GCCUGAGUUAGGAGGUAAGCUGGAAAGAAGAACUUGAGGGAAAAUGUGGGGCAGAGGCCACUGAUUAAAAGCAGGUAUGAAACAUGCAGCAUCCACCUACACCGCUGCCUACGGAACAGACAGAACUUUCAAUCCCUGAGACAUUGCAGCUACUAAAUAAAUUAGGGUGAAAACA